AAUCUGGUACAUCCACAGUUAGGUUAAGCGAUAAUCUGGUACAUCCACAGUUAGGUUAAGCGAUAAUCUGGUACAUCCACAGUUAGGUUAAGCGAUAAUCUGGUACAUCCACAGUUAGGUUAAGCGAUAAUCUGGUACAUCCACAGUUAGGUUAAGCGAUAAUCUGGUACAUCCACAGUUAGGUUAAGCGAUAAUCUGGUACAUCCACAGUUAGGUUAAGCGAUAAUCUGGUACAACCACAGUUAGGUUAGGCGAUAAUCUGGUACAACCACAGUUAGGUUAGGCGAUAAUCUGGUACAUCCACAGUUAGGUUAAGCGAUAAAG